rnacentral:rRNA from 1 species
UUCCGGUUGAUCCUGCCGGACCUGACUGCUAUCGGAUUGAUACUAAGCCAUGCGAGUCAUUGUAGCAAUACAAGGCAGACGGCUCAGUAACGCGUAGUCAACCUAACCUAUGGACGAGAAUAACCUCGGGAAACCGAGAAUAAUGCUCGAUAGAACACUAUACCUGGAAUGGUUUGUGUUCCAAAUGAUUUAUCGCCGUAGGAUGGGACUGCGGCCUAUCAGUUUGUUGGUGAGGUAAUGGCCCACCAAGACUAUUACAGGUACGGGCUCUGAGAGGAGUAGCCCGGAGAUGGGUACUGAGACACGGACCCAGGCCCUAUGGGGCGCAGCAGGCGAGAAAACUUUGCAAUGUGCGAAAGCACGACAAGGUUAAUCCGAGUGAUUUGUGCUAAACGAAUCUUUUGUUAGUCCUGGAACCACUAACGAAUAAGGGGUGGGCAAGUUCUGGUGUCAGCCGCCGCGGUAAAACCAGCACCUCAAGUGGUCAGGAUGAUUAUUGGGCCUAAAGCAUCCGUAGCCGGCUCUGUAAGUUUUCGGUUAAAUCUGUACGCUUAACGUACAGGCUGCCGGGAAUACUGCAGAGCUAGGGAGUGGGAGAGGUAGACGGUACUCGGUAGGAAGGGGUAAAAUCCUUUGAUCUAUUGAUGA